rnacentral:rRNA from 1 species
UAAUACAGAGGUCCCAAGCGUUGUUCGGAUUCACUGGGCGUAAAGGGUGCGUAGGUGGUGAGGUAAGUCGGAUGUGAAAGCUCGGAGCUCAACUCCGAAAUGGCAUUGGAAACUACCUUGCUCGAGGGUUGGAGGGGGGACUGGAAUACUUGGUGUAGCAGUGAAAUGCGUAGAUAUCAAGUGGAACACCAGUGGCGAAGGCGAGUCCCUGGACAACUCCUGACACUGAGGCACGAAAGCUAGGGGAGCAAACAGGAUUAGAUACCCUGGUAGUCCUAGCCGUAAACGGUGCACGUUUGCUGUAAGAGGAAUCGACCCCUCUUGUGGCGGAGCCAACGCGUUAAACGUGCCGCCUGGGAAGUACGGUCGCAAGAUUAAAACUCAAAGAAAUUGACGGGGGCCUGCACAAGCGGUGGAGUAUGUGGCUCAAUUCGAUGCAACGCGAAGAACCUUACCUGGCCUUGACAUGCAUAUAGUAGAAGGGUGAAAGCCUGACGAGGUAGCAAUACCAGUAUGCACAGGUGCUGCAUGGCUGUCGUCAGCUCGUGUCGUGAGAUGUUGGGUUAAGUCCCCGCAACGAGCGCAACCCCUGUGUCCUGUUGCCACCCCGGCGUGAGUCGGGAGCACUCUGGACAGACUGCCUCGCUUAAACGAGGAGGAAGGUGGGGAUGACGUCAAGUCAGUAUGGCCCUUACGGCCAGGGCUGCACACGUACUACAAUGCCCGGCACAAAGGGAAGCGAGACCGUCAGGUGGAGCAAAUCCCCUAAAACCGGGCCCAGUUCAGAUUGUCGUCUGCAACUCGACGGCAUGAAGCUGGAAUCGCUAGUAAUGGCGCAUCAGCUACGGCGCCGUGAAUACGUUCCCAGGCCUUGUACACACCGCCCGUCACAUCAUGAAAGCCGUUUGUACCCGAAGUCACUGUGCCAACCGCAAGGGGGCAGGUGCCGAAGGUAUGGAUGGUGAUUGGGAUG